CACGAAGAAUUGGGGUGCCGUUUGGCUGAGAAAUACCCAUUGAACCUGCUCUGGUUAGGACCAGCGAAGGAAAUUCUCAUCAUUAAUAC
rnacentral:ncRNA from 3 species